AGUAGGGAAUCUUCCGCAAUGGACGAAAGUCUGACGGAGCAACGCCGCGUGAGUGAUGAAGGCUUUCGGGUCGUAAAACUCUGUUGUUAGGGAAGAACAAGUGCUAGUUGAAUAAGCUGGCACCUUGACGGUACCUAACCAGAAAGCCACGGCUAACUACGUGCCAGCAGCCGCGGUAAUACGUAGGUGGCAAGCGUUAUCCGGAAUUAUUGGGCGUAAAGCGCGCGCAGGUGGUUUCUUAAGUCUGAUGUGAAAGCCCACGGCUCAACCGUGGAGGGUCAUUGGAAACUGGGAGACUUGAGUGCAGAAGAGGAAAGUGGAAUUCCAUGUGUAGCGGUGAAAUGCGUAGAGAUAUGGAGGAACACCAGUGGCGAAGGCGACUUUCUGGUCUGUAACUGACACUGAGGCGCGAAAGCGUGGGGAGCAAACAGGAUUAGAUACCCUGGUAGUCCACGCCGUAAACGAUGAGUGCUAAGUGUUAGAGGGUUCCGCC
rnacentral:rRNA from 1 species